AUGUUGGUGGAAAUAAGCUACUUGAAGAAGUGCACAGUUGUUGUUCUGCUGAUUCCAUCUGUGUUAGCAAUAAGAUGUUUCUCGGCUACCACGCCAAGAGACACCAUCGCGUUCAAUGAAUCCAUUUCUGAUGGGCAGAGCCUUGUUUCUAGUGACAAGAAAUUUGUGCUUGGAUUCUUUAGCCCUGGAGCUUCAAGCCACCGAUAUAUUGGUAUAUGGUAUAACAGUACUCCAAAUGGAACGGUUGUAUGGGUUGCUAACAGGAAUGAUCCAGUAUAUGAUAAGUCCGGUGUACUUAAGUUUGAUGAUGUCGGUAAUCUGAUAGUCCAAAAUGGCACAGGCAGCUCGUCUAUAGUUGCUUUUGGUUCUGGGGUGGGAGUGAGGGACAGGGAGGCUGCAAUACUGUAUACUGGCAACUUGGUGCUAAGGAGCAUGGCCAACCAUUCAAAUAUCAUAUGGGAUAGCUUUGCCUAUCCUACUGAUACAUGGCUCCCUGGAAUGAAUAUUACACUUAGAAAUUUGCUGACAUCAUGGAAGAGCUAUGAUGAUCCAGCAACGGGAGAUUACACUUUUGGUUUUGGACCGAGCAUAAUUAAUAGAUCAGCAUCACAAUUCAUUAUUAACUGGAAUCGGAAUUCAUUUUGGACAAGUGCAUCCUGGAAUGGUGACACGAAUUCUCUCAUUCCAGAACUGAAAUCUAUGAGUAUCAUCCCUGUUUCAUUUCAGUGUGACAACCUUACAUGCAUGUACACUCCCAACCCUGCUGGCAUAAUGACUAAGAUUGUUUUGGAUCAAAGUGGUUCACUGAACAUAACACAGUUCGAUCCGGAAACCAAAUUGUGGACAUUGUUAUGGAGACAUCCAGAUAGUUGUGAUGUGUCUAAUUUAUGUGGAGUUAAUGGUGUAUGCAACAACAGUAUGUCCGUAUCAGCAUCAGAAUCCAUUUGUCGGUGUCCAGAAGGAUUUGCAGCACAAGACCAAUCAAAUUCUAGGAAAGGGUGCACCAGACAAACCCCACUGCAGUGUAAUGGUGAUAGGUUUAUUGAUAUGCUUAAUAUGACAGUUCCUGGCAACAGACAGAAGCUGUCAGUUGUGGGAAAAAGUGAAUGUGAAUUUGCCUGUAUGAAAAGUUGCUCUUGUACGGCAUAUGCUCAUUCGCUCUCCGAUGUUUGCAGCUUAUGGCAUGGCAAUCUAACAAACUUGCAGGAUGGAGUUGAAACUCUUCAUCUUCGUAUAGCUGCAUCAGAAUUACAUGGUCACAAAAUGCUUUGGAUAGCAUAUAUACUUCCGCCAGUUGCAUUCCUUGUCUUUUGUCUCAUCUCUUUUAUUUGGAUUAGGAGAAGGAAAAAUAAAGGGAAAAGAAAACAGCCUGAUCACCCCCUCGUCAUGACUUCAGAUGUGAUGAAGCUAUGGGAGAGCGAAGACACAGGCUCUCACUUUAUGAUGCUUUCCUUUUCACAGAUAGAAAAUGCCACAGACAACUUCUCAACUGAAAACAAGCUUGGAGAGGGAGGGUUUGGCCCUGUGUACAAGGGCAACUUACCAAAUGGACAAGAUGUUGCUGUUAAGAGACUUGCAGCGAAUUCAGGUCAAGGACUACCAGAGUUUAAGAAUGAAAUCUUGUUAAUAGCCAAGCUUCAACACAGCAAUUUAGUGGGACUCCUAGGUUGCUGCAUUGACGGGGAAGAAAUGUUACUAAUCUAUGAGUAUAUGCCAAACAAAAGCUUGGAUUUCUUCCUAUUUGACCAAUCGAGAAGAGCUUUUUUAGUCUGGGCAAUGCGUCUUAACAUAAUUGAAGGGAUCGCACAAGGUCUUAUUUAUCUCCACAAGCAUUCUCGGCUAAGAAUUAUUCACAGGGACCUGAAACCAAGCAACAUUCUGCUGGACACUGAUAUGAACCCUAAGAUCUCAGAUUUUGGAAUGGCAAGAAUAUUUGAUCCUAAAGGAGGACUAGCUAACACGAAAAGAGUCGUUGGAACAUAUGGCUACAUGGCCCCCGAAUAUGCCAUGGCAGGUAUUUUCUCUGUCAAGUCCGAUGUAUUUAGCUACGGGGUACUGCUUCUGGAGAUCGUCAGUGGGCUAAGAAAUGCCGCAGCUCAUGGACAUGGAAACUCCCUAAACCUCCUUGGUCACGCAUGGGAGCUGUGGAAAGAAGGCAGAUGGCGCGAACUCAUUGAUAAAUCGUUGCACGGUGCAUGUCCUGAGAAUAUGGUGCUACGAUGCAUUCACGUCGGCCUGUUGUGCGUUCAGGAGAAUGCUGCUGAUCGGCCCUCCAUGGCCGAAGUCAUUUCCAUGAUUACUAGCGAAAAUGCCACCUUGCCGGCCCCAAAACAACCUGGUUUCGUAUCCAUGUUGCUUCCAACUGAAGCUGAUGUCCCUGAAGGAAGCUGCUCUCUGAAUGAUUUGUCAAUUACUGGCCUGGAUGGCAGGUAG
rnacentral:rRNA from 1 species